UACGGAGGGUGCAAGCGUUAUCCGGAUUCACUGGGUUUAAAGGGUGCGUAGGCGGGCAGGUAAGUCCGUGGUGAAAUCCCCGAGCUUAACUCGGGAACUGCCAUGGAUACUAUUUGUCUUGAAUAUUGUGGAGAUAAGCGGAAUAUGUCAUGUAGCGGUGAAAUGCUUAGAUAUGACAUAGAACACCAAUUGCGCAGGCAGCUUACUACACAGUAAUUGACACUGAGGCACGAAAGCGUGGGGAUCAAACAGG
rnacentral:rRNA from 1 species